ACCUGGCUGGCUCAGUAGGUAAAGCAUGCAACUCUUAAUCUCGAGGUUGUAGGUUCAAGCCCCAUGUUGGGUG
rnacentral:tRNA from 1 species